GAUGAACGCUGGCGGCGUGCCUAAUACAUGCAAGUCGAGCGGACGGACGAGAAGCUUGCUUCUCUGAUGUUAGCGGCGGACGGGUGAGUAACACGUGGAUACCCUACCUAUAAGACUGGGAUAACUUCGGGAAACCGUCGCUAAUCCCGGAUAAUCUCUUGAUCCGCAUGGUUCAAAGGUGAAAGACGGUCUUGCUGUCUCUUAUAGAUGGAUCCGCGCUGCAUUAGCUAGUUGGUAAGGUAACAGGCUACGAAGGCAACGAGGCAUAGCCGACCUGAGAGAGUGGUAGGCCACAUUGGAGGGUAGACGCGGUCCAUGGGCCUGCGGGACGCAGCAGUAGGGUAUGGUCCGCAGUAGUCGGAAGUCUGACGGAGCGAGCGCGAGUCAGUUACGGCAGCCUUCGGAGCGUGAUGCUCGGUUAUUAGGGAAGAACAGAUGUGUAAGGAACUGUGGACAGCUUGACGGUACCUGGUCAGAAAGCCACGGCUAACUACGUG
rnacentral:rRNA from 1 species